rnacentral:rRNA from 1 species
GACGAACGCUGGCGGCGUGCCUAAUACAUGCAAGUCGAGCGAAGUUUUUCUGGUGCUUGCACUAGAAAAACUUAGCGGCGGACGGGUGAGUAACACGUAAAGAACCUGCCUCAUAGACUGGGACAACUAUUGGAAACGAUAGCUAAUACCGGAUAACAGUAUUUCUCGCAUGAGAGAUAUUUAAAAGUUGGUUAUGCUAACACUAUGAGAUGGCUUUGCGGUGCAUUAGCUAGUUGGUGGGGUAAAGGCCCACCAAGGCGACGAUGCAUAGCCGACCUGAGAGGGUGAUCGGCCACACUGGGACUGAGACACGGCCCAGACUCCUACGGGAGGCAGCAGUAGGGAAUCUUCCGCAAUGGGCGAAAGCCUGACGGAGCAACGCCGCGUGAGUGAAGAAGGAUUUCGGUUCGUAAAGCUCUGUUGUUAGGGAAGAAUGGAUAUGUAGUAACUAUACAUGUAAGAGACGGUACCUAACCAGAAAGCCACGGCUAACUACGUG